rnacentral:rRNA from 1 species
UACGGAGGGGGGCUAGCGUUAUUCGGAAUUAUUGGGCGUAAAGGGCGCGUAGGCGGCCCGGUAAGUCAAAGGUGAAAUCCCUCGGCUCAACUGAGGAACUGCCUUUGAAACUGUCGGGCUUGAGGCCGGGAGGGGGGUAGCGGAAUUCCCAGUGUAGCGGAAGAUGCGUAGAUAUUGGGAGGAACACCGGUGGCGAAGGCGGCUACCUGGACCGGUUCUGACGCUGAUGCGCGAAAGCGUGGGUAGCAAACAGG